rnacentral:rRNA from 1 species
UACAGAGGUCUCAAGCGUUGUUCGGAUUCAUUGGGCGUAAAGAGCGUGUAGGCGGCCCGGUCAGUCCGCCGUGAAAGUCCAGGGCUCAACCCCUGGAAUGCCGGUGGAUACUGCCGGGCUGGAGUCCGGAAGAGGCGAGUGGAAUUCCUGGUGUAGCGGUGAAAUGCGCAGAUAUCAGGAGGAACACCAAUGGCGAAGGCAGCUCGCUGGGACGGUACUGACGCUGAGACGCGAAAGCGUGGGGAGCGAACAGG